rnacentral:tRNA from 1 species
GGUUUGUGGCUCAGUGAUAGAGCACUCACCUCACAUGUGUGAGGUCCUGGGUUUGAUCCUCAGCACCA